GUGAAAGUCAUCAGAUGAAGCUAGCCUUCUCAGCUAGCCUUAGAUUUGUCUGCUAACAGUAAAAAUACUAUAAUAAAUCGGUAACAUAUGUUGCCAGGCAAGGAAAAGUGAUAUAAAUAAAGAGACCAGGAGACCCAAACCAAGUACAAUAUUGCAUUCUUACCCAAAUACUCUUCGUGAUUGCCUGCUUUGCGGCUUUGGGGUAAGUCCCAGUUUUCCACAACCUUAAGAAAAAAAAAAUGCAUAACAUAAAAGAUGCCAAAAAGACUUAUGGGUCCUGAUGUGCGGGUUUUGUGAAAUAUACAUGGGUUUGUUGUGGGGGAGGGAAUGGGAAGCAAUGUUGGUAAUGAAAUAAAGAGAAGGGGUUUGUUUCUGCAAGGAUCAGGAGUGUUUGAAAGUGUGCAUUGCAAACGAGGCUCCCUUCAGGAAAGCCACCUCUGGAAUGGAAAUGACAAAGCUUGGAACACACACAAUCAAUUAUUUUCACUAGCAUUUAAAAUAUAGAAAACAAAAUCUGCUUUGGGAAUUGACUGAAUAUUUUAUUUAGCUUUUUUAUUGAGACAUCCUUUGAAAAAUGGCAUAAUAUAAAUAGUUUUACAAAGCAACAAUAUAAUCAAUCUCUAAACUAGAAUAUAAAUCAAGGAUUUCAUUAACUGCUAGUAGCCAGUUUAAAUUGUAGUCUUGUCCAUAAUGUCUAUCUAUCUAUGUAUGUCCAAGUUAUAUUAAAAACCUUUAAAUGGCUUUGUAAUAUCAGCUACAUCUAGCUAUUAUAAUAAUUAAUGGUACUGUUUUAUAAAUCAAUACAUGUAUUCUUGAUAAAUUCAUAUCCAGUUAAUGGUGUAAUUUAAAUAAAAAAUUAAUGUAAUAAAGGACAUACAGAAACAGGCAGGAAAUCUUUAAAGGUUAAGAGACAAAUUUGUCUAAAUUCAUUUUUAAACUGUUUUGAAAAAGUUUAUACUUAAAAUCAGCUGCGAUUUACCUUGUUUCUGCAAAACCAAUCUUGCCAUCUCUAUUGGUAUCCAGGAAUGAACUGUAAGGCAUUUUCUUUUUUAACUGUCAAGUUUUAAUUACAUACUUACGAUACCAUGAGAUAUUUUACUAUCGUUACACUCUUUGACAAUUAUUGAAUAUUCUUUAGAAAAAUAGAACAAAACUAAAAAUCUCAAACAAGUAACUUAUUUUUAAUACAUGAAUGAAAUGUAAAUGCUUUAUGUAUAUAUUUUUAUAUCUAUAAAUGAACUGUUCUGAGCAUCUCCAAAGCCAUAUACAAAUUUUAUUUAAAGCGAAAAAGGACGAUUAGUUCAAUAAAUUUGCAUGCGCAAGAGCCCAGCAUUUUUACUGCUUUCACUGAAUGAACAUCCUAGGAAUUUGAGAAAGAAAAGAAAAAUGCAUUGAAGACUCUGAAAUGUAUUUUAACGCUGCACACGGGUGGAGAAACGCACUACAAAGAGAAGCGUGUAUCAUUGCUCUGAUUUAAAAAACACAUACCAAAGGCAUAAUACGGAGUAACAAGAUCUAGAAAAACAACUGGAUGUUGUAUGUUAUCAAACACGAUCUUAAAUCAUUCCAAAUAAAAUUUCGCUUGGUUUAGAGAGUAAGCAUUUUGCACAAAAUAUCUUUCAGAAUUAUGCAGACCAGUCUGCCCUGCCAUUCUCUGUGACAUGGUGCAGAAAUGUUACUUUAAUCCACUGAGCUUUUUCUGACAUUUUUCUUAACAUUGCUGAGCCUUAUUUAGAGCAGCAAAGGAGACGUGUGCAGUUUCCUUUGACACUGAUGGGUGUUUCAAAAUGUUACGAGAGAGAGAGAGAGAGAGAGAGAGAGAGAAGAGAGAAGAUUUGCUGCCAGUCACUUUAUCAAUACAGCUAGAGGAGCAAUUACUAUUUGUUAAAAGUUUACAUUUCAAAUGAAGCUAAAUUUUAAAGAAGACUCAUCCUUUUAAAAGCUUGCUGUUUGGAAACGGGGGAAGAGAAUGCACGUUACUGAUCACUUAUUAAAGUGCACUCAAGUACUGGAACCAUUUAAAAUGUAUUGUGUUUUUAUACGAAACCUACAGCAAAACCACUCCUAAGAGGCUUAAUUUAGGUUUUAUAGGAGGAACAUAAAAAAGACCAGGUUACAGCAACACGCUGAAAUAUGGGGUACAUUUUAAAUAUCUUCAUUUAAAAACGUAUGUUUAUUUUCCCUCCUGGGAUCACUAACGUGUGUCUUGACAGAGAAAGCAAGGACAUGCUACAUUCUUAAAAAUUAUCUGUUAAAGGGAUCACAUUCCAAGACAGGUUUGAGCAUUUUUAUUACUACCGAUAACCUCUUAAUUAUGUCACUGCCUUCCACUUGUUAAUCAGGGAUAUUCAACAUGGUUAACCAGUGAAUGGUUGCCUUUAGAUGACUACAUUAUUAUUAAGAAUUAAAAACUCAUUUUAUUCCCAUCAUCAUGUUAUUGCAUCUAUGAUUUUAGCACUGCUGAAAACUGACUUACCUGCUUUAAAUACAGAACACCUAAGAAAAAGGUCUAGAUGCCCCUAACAAUGUGGUUAAUUACUUCUUGGUACAGCUCAUGGGACGUUUAAGGGAGAGAUAAUUUUACUUUUGCUGUCUCACCCCACCCCCACCCCACUGGGUCCCCCACUCCCCCACCUCUCCCACAAUUCCUGUUUGAACCAAUUUUAGGUUUCUUCUGUAGCCACCAGCGUCUGAGAUACUCAGAGACUUUUUCAGAGAGCAAGGUGUAAGUGGAGUAAAUAAAAUUAUGUCUCACUGCUGCUUUAUCAACCCUCCUAGGUAGUUUUCCUGCCAGCCAACCUGUGCCGUUAAGACCCAGAAAAUUAUGCAAUAGUGACUUCUUUGAGGUCCUCUAAUCAGAUGAUGGCCAGUGUUAGGAGGGAAGGGCCCAAGGCGAUGUUGCUGGCACUUAAUGCUGGGCUUGGUCAUUACUUGUCUGGUAGAGAGACCAAUAAACAGAUGAUUACUAUACUAUAAGGAGCCAAUAUUUUACAUUUAUCCUAGUUAUUUCUUUGCUUUUCUUUUCCACGUCUUAUAACGGCAAGUAUUUGUCAAGAAGAUCUAUGAGGAAUAACCUCACAGGCCCCUUAAAAAUAAGAAUUUUCCUAGCGUGCAAUGAUGCCUUUUGUGGAAUGGUGAGAAUGAUUUUGGUUUUUAUAAGAGCAAAGGUUUGAUGACUUUAAAGUCGAUUUCUUUCAGAGUGGACCGUCCCAGACACGCCCCACCCCCAUCCCCUUCUCUGUCCACGACAGGUUCACAGGCUGCAACCAAAGGGUUUUAAAAUGCAAAUAUUUAUAUUGGAUCUCUGGCAAGAACAGAGUCAUUUUGCUUCCUCUGUUAGCCUGUGAUAAUUGAUGCUUCAUACCUGGAACUACGUUUCAUUUAUCUCUUUACCCAUGAAGAUAUUGCAUAAAUAAGAGAUAAUUUAUGGAAAGGAAACAGCCAUUUGAAAUAAUAAUCCUAAAUUUGACUGUAUGAUCUUGAAAGACUUUCAGAGUCAAAGAUGCAGAUUUCUGGUUUUAAAGAAAACUUGGUCGCAACUGGGAAAUUUGUGCCUUUUUUGAACAUUUACUGAAUUUGAAUGCCUGCAUGGA